rnacentral:rRNA from 1 species
GAUGAACGCUGGCGGCGUGCCUAAUACAUGCAAGUCGAGCGAAGCGGGGACGGGUGAGUAACACGUGGAUAACCUCCUAUAAGACUGGGGUAAAUUCGGGAAACAGGAGCUAAACAGGAUAAUUAUAGAUGGAUACGCGCUGCAUUAGCGAGGUGGUGAGGUAACGGCAGAGCAAGGCAACGAUGAAUAGCCGACCUGAGAGGGUGAUCGGCCACACUGGAACGGAGAAACGGUCCAGACUCCUACGGGAGGCAGCAGUAGGGAAUCUUCCGCAAGGGGCGAAAGCCUGACGGAGCAACGCCGCGUGAGUGAUGAAGGUCUUCGGAUCGUAAAACUCUGUUAUUAGGGAAGCGGUACCUAAUCAGAAAGCCACGGCUAACUACGUGCCAGCAGCCGCGGUAAUUC